rnacentral:rRNA from 1 species
UACGUAGGGUGCGAGCGUUGUCCGGAAUUAUUGGGCGUAAAGAGCUCGUAGGCGGUCUGUCGCGUUGGUCGUGAAAACUUGGGGCUUAACCCUGAGCUUGCGGUCGAUACGGGCAUGACUGGAGUUCGGCAGGGGAGACUGGAAUUCCUGGUGUAGCGGUGGAAUGCGCAGAUAUCAGGAGGAACACCGGUGGCGAAGGCGGGUCUCUGGGCCGGUACUGACGCUGAGGAGCGAAAGCGUGGGGAGCGAACAGG